UCAAAAACCGGUACCCAGUUCGGAUUGUAGGCUGCAACUCGCCUACAUGAAGUCGGAGUUGCUAGUAAUCGCGGAUCAGAAUGCCGCGGUGAAUGCGUUCCCGGGUCUUGUACACACCGCCCGUCACACCAUGGAAGUUGGGGCGCCCGAAGUUGCCUAAGAAAUAAGGUACCUAAGGCGAAACCAAUGACUGGGGUGAAGUCGUAACAAGGUAAC
rnacentral:rRNA from 1 species